rnacentral:rRNA from 1 species
UGCAGUCGAACGCGCAGCGAGAGGUGCUUGCACCUUUCAAGCGAGUGGCGAACGGGUGAGUAACACGUGGAUAACCUGCCUCAAGGCUGGGGAUAACAUUUGGAAACAGAUGCUAAUACCGAAUAAAACUUAGUAUCGCAUGAUAUCAAGUUAAAAGGCGCUACGGCGUCACCUAGAGAUGGAUCCGCGGUGCAUUAGUUAGUUGGUGGGGUAAAGGCUUACCAAGACAAUGAUGCAUAGCCGAGUUGAGAGACUGAUCGGCCACAUUGGGACUGAGACACGGCCCAAACUCCUACGGGAGGCUGCAGUAGGGAAUCUUCCACAAUGGGCGCAAGCCUGAUGGAGCAACGCCGCGUGUGUGAUGAAGGCUUUCGGGUCGUAAAGCACUGUUGUAUGGGAAGAAAUGCUAAAAUAGGGAAUGAUUUUAGUUUGACGGUACCAUACCAGAAAGGGACGGCUAAAUACGUGCCAGCAGCCGCGGUAAUACGUAUGUCCCGAGCGUUAUCCGGAUUUAUUGGGCGUAAAGCGAGCGCAGACGGUUGAUUAAGUCUGAUGUGAAAGCCCGGAGCUCAACUCCGGAAUGGCAUUGGAAACUGGUUAACUUGAGUGUUGUAGAGGUAAGUGGAACUCCAUGUGUAGCGGUGGAAUGCGUAGAUAUAUGGAAGAACACCAGUGGCGAAGGCGGCUUACUGGACAACAACUGACGUUGAGGCUCGAAAGUGUGGGUAGCAAACAGGAUUAGAUACCCUGGUAGUCCACACCGUAAACGAUGAAUACUAGGUGUUAGGAGGUUUCCGCCUCUUAGUGCCGAAGCUAACGCAUUAAGUAUUCCGCCUGGGAGUACGACCGCAAGGUUGAAACUCAAAGGAAUUGACGGGGACCCGCACAAGCGGUGGAGCAUGUGGUUUAAUUCGAAGCAACGCGAAGAACCUUACCAGUCUUGACAUCCUUUGAAGCUUUUAGAAGAUAGAGUGUUCUCUUCGAGACAAGUGACAGGUGGGUGCAUGGGUCGUCGUCAGCUCGUGU